rnacentral:lncRNA from 1 species
CCAGUCCAUGAUCGUGAGAAGUGCACACACAGCCUAUGGGCAUACGUUGCCUCUUGCAUGAAGAUGAGAAGUGUAUACGCUACCUCUCGUGUGAAGAUGAGAAGCCUACAAGCACAUGCUGCCUCUCGCACAAAGACAAGAAGUGUGUACGCUACCUACAAACAUACGCUGCCUCUCACAUGAAGAUGAGAAGUGCACAUACUAUCUACAGGCACACGCUGCCUCUUGCAUGAAAAUGAGAAGUGCACAUGCUGCCUCUUGUAUAAAAAUGAGAAGUGCACAUGUUGCUCUGCUCGCA